UGCAAAAAAAAAAAAAAAAAAAAAAAAAAAAAAAA
rnacentral:ribozyme from 13 species